rnacentral:rRNA from 1 species
CCUACGGGAGGCAGCAGUGAGGAAUAUUGGUCAAUGGGCGGGAGCCUGAACCAGCCAAGUCGCGUGAGGGACGACGGUCCUAUGGAUUGUAAACCUCUUUUGUCGGGGAACAAAGGCGCCCACGGGUGGGCGGAUGAGUGUACCCGAAGAAAAAGCAUCGGCUAACUCCGUGCCAGCAGCCGCGGUAAUACGGAGGAUGCGAGCGUUAUCCGGAUUUAUUGGGUUUAAAGGGUGCGUAGGCGGUCCGUUAAGUCAGCGGUAAAAUUGCGGGGCUCAACCCCGUCGAGCCGUUGAAACUGGCAGAC